CUGCUGCCUCCCGUAGGAGUUUGGACCGUGUCUCAGUUCCAAUGUGGGGGACCUUCCUCUCAGAACCCCUAUCCAUCGUUGUCUUGGUGGGCCGUUACCCCGCCAACUAACUAAUGGAACGCAUCCCCAUCCCAUACCGAAAUUCUUUAAUAAUCCCAUCAUGCGGUAGGACUAUAACAUCGGGUAUUAAUCUUUCUUUCGAAAGGCUAUCCCCGAGUAUGAGGCAGGUUGGAUACGUGUUACUCACUCGUGCGCCGGUCGCCAUCAAAAG
rnacentral:rRNA from 1 species